GAUAAGAACGCAGCGAAAUGCGAUACUUGGUGUGAAUUGCAGAAUCCCGUGAACCAUCGAGUCUUUGAACGCAAGUUGCGCCCGAAGCCAUUAGGCCGAGGGCACGCCUGCCUGGGCGUCACACGUCGUUGCCCCCCCCAUCUACUCCUUCGGGAUUGCGGGGGGCGGAUGAUGGCCUCCCGUGCGCCUCGCCGCGCGGUUGGCAUAAAUGCCAAGUCCUCGGCGACGCACGCCACGACAAUCGGUGGUUGCGAAACCUCGGUUGCCCGUCGUGUGCGGUCGUCGCGCAUCGAGGGCUCGAAAAAAUUGCCGAGUUCCGGCUCGGCUUUCAACGCGACCCCAGGUCAGGCGGGGUUACCCGCUGAAUUUAAGCAUAUCAAUAAGCGGAGGA
rnacentral:misc_RNA from 1 species